rnacentral:lncRNA from 1 species
GCCGAGUCUGCUGCGGCUCCGGAUGCGCGGGGUGGCAGUGGCCGGGAGGACGCGGGGCGGCGGGCAGGGCCUCCCAAGCCCGGCUGUCCUCGGCCCGUGCGCGGCGCCCGGAGUCCCACUCCUCCCGAUGCUGUCCCCCGCGCCCGGAGGCCGAGCCAAUUCUCUGGGAAGUUCCCGGCUUGGGAGCGGAGCGGCCGGUCGGAAGAACCUCGGGUGCUGGCGCGCCUGAAGUUGCAGACCAGACUGAAAUGUGCGAGACAUGUGCCUUUUUCUUAGGAAAGGCCCCAGGUACCAGAAAGGUUUUCAGCGCGCCGACCUACGGGGCUAAGAGGGCUGAAAUAAGAACCAGUGACUGAGCGCCGGGAGGUUUAAGGUUUAUGGAAGAUGUUCAUCGCGCCGUACCCUACUAGAGGUUUGGGGACGUGGGACACAGCCCCUGCGUUCCCGCCGCGGACCCCGUGAUAAAUACACAGACACACAAAAUCACUACCGCCUUGAAUCUGGACAGCUACCUCAGGUGGUUAAUAUCUAACAGGAGCAGAGUGGAGCUCAGAAAGACUCAGCGUGGGUGCUGGGUUCCGGCGCGACCAGCCUGAUACCUAGGUCAGCAUCUCAGCCACACAAGCAGGCGGCAGUUCUGUCAGGAAUUACUACAUCUGGUGAUUCCACUUCUCAUAGCUCACCGCUGGGAGAAUAAUUCCUCAGGAUUAACAAGAUCUAUUCCAGAGGAUCCUCACUGCUGAAGCGAUUUUAGAAGACAGUGUGGUCUGUUGACAGUAUGGAAUAUUCUUUACCCAUCAGAUAUGAUCUGUAUGUGAUUGGAAGGAAAUAAACCAACUGCUAACAACACUUCUCUAUAGAUGUUCAGAUUCAGUAAUUUUUGUAUUUUUCUCUACACUUUUGUUUUUUCAAAUUUCCUAGCACAAGAAGACUUUGACUUACUGCACAUGUCAUUUUAAAUGACCUUUAUAAAGACUCUAUAGAAA